UUUAUGGAGAGUUUGAUCUUGGCUCAGGACGAACGCUGGCGGCGUGCCUAAUACAUGCAAGUCGAGCGCGGGAAGCAAGCAAUCGCCCU
rnacentral:rRNA from 1 species